AACGGGUUAAUUGUGAAAAGGCUAAAUGUUUGUGGACCUAUUGAACUAUUUCUAACACUAUCAGUUCAUAACUUGGGUUUUUGGGAGAAACCAGGUUAGAGUAAGUAAGGUAGCUUACAGUAUGAAAAUACUUGGAAAAUUCCAGACACUUUUGACCUAACCAAAGAUAUAAGGACGUGUCCGUGAACCACAAACUAAAUAUUGUAGAGCGCUCUGUGUCUGCUACAACUCUGUCGACAUGGCAACGAGUAGCCCUUCGAUGUUUGCGUAGGUAUGAUUGGAUAUCCUAUGUAUAGCUAACUAGCAAACUCUGCUAAGCAAAGACAUUCGCAAACUUGUCACCCCCUGCAAAUUCACUGUAAGGAUACGCCGCAAACGUUCCCGAGCCGAUUAACCUUUCUAAAGAAUUGACAGUUUAAUGUCAAGUCAGUUAAUCUUACUUUUGUGCUCGAACUGUCCUGGAACAUCUAGAUAAUGGCCGAAACCCGGGUCCUUCCGAGUGGAGAAGUGUACCGGCAGAUGUUUGAUGCGCAGGUCCAGCUGUCGUUGGCGCUUCAUGAUGGACGAAGCAAACGUGCUGCCAGCGGAGGUUUCCAGCUUAGCUGUGACUGCCAUGGGGGCCAAGAGGCGCACCCUGGAGGGCUGCGGACCAGGGUUCAGACGGAAUGUUCGGUGUGGUCCGAAGACACCACUGCACGGGCACAGCUGUUCUCAGGUGGCCUGGCCGUACAGAAGAAUCAUCAGCUGAUGCAGGAGAUAAGUGGUCUUCCAGAUACAGUUGAGGCAGAGCUCAAAGGAUCUGACAUUAUUGAACGCCUCAAGGAGAAAAAACGAAGAGAUCACACAGAGGCUGUUGUUCAGUUGCAUCGAGAUCUCGCUGUGAUAAGCACGGUAUGGAUUGCUGUGUUUUUGAAGCCAUCCCUUUGUAAAAAUGGGGAGACAUUCAUGAUGUUACUAUACUCAUACUGUAUAAUUAGUCAGUUUAAAUGCAAGAGAGUGAUUUCCAUGAUUUCUAUUUCAUUCUAUGGUUUCAGAAAUAUGAAUCGUGCCUCAGGCAACAAGCAGAGAACACCAUGUGUCAACUGGCACAAUAUGAUGCCACCGUUGAGAGUCUCAUGAGAAAGAUCGACAGCGUGUCCGAUUUGGAAAGCUUCAGCAUCCAGGACCAUCUGCAGGUCUGGGAAUUGGUCAGCCAGGAGUCGGCAAACAGAAGGGAGUGCAUCAGGAAACUGGACGAGAACCUUGACAAGUACAUUUCUGAAAGAACAGCUGUGGUAUGGUGAAACCGUAACAAACACACUCCUAUGAGCUCUGUUUUAGUUCUUUCCAUACUACUAUUGUAA
rnacentral:lncRNA from 1 species